AAAUAAAAAGUGAACUAUCACAAUCAGUUUCGACCUGAGCUUAGGUACUAUUUACCUUUAUUU
rnacentral:tRNA from 1 species